rnacentral:rRNA from 1 species
ACGAACGCUGGCGGCGUGCCUAAUACAUGCAAGUCGAGCGAAGUUUUUCUGGUGCUUGCACCGGAAAAACUUAGCGGCGACCGGGUGAGUAACACGUAAAGAACCUGCCUCAUAGACUGGGACAACUAUUGGAAACGAUAGCUAAUACCGGAUAACAGCAUUAACUGCAUGGUUGAUGUUUAAAAGUUGGUUUUGCUAACACUAUGAGAUGGCUUUGCGUUGCAUUAGCUAGUUGGUGGGGUAAAGGCCUACCAAGGCGACGAUGCAUAGCCGACCUGAGAGGGUGAUCGGCCACACUGGGACUGAGACACGGCCCAGACUCCUACGGGAGGCAGCAGUAGGGAAUCUUCCGCAAUGGGCGAAAGCCUGACGGAGCAACGCCGCGUGAGUGAAGAAGGAUUUCGGUUCGUAAAGCUCUGUUGUUAGGGAAGAAUGAUUGUGUAGUAACUAUACACAGUAGAGACGGUACCUAACCAGAAAGCCACGGCUAACUACGUG